GGGAAACCGAGUCUUAAUUGGGCGUUAAGUUGCAGGGUAUAGACCCGAAACCCGGUGAUCUAGCCAUGGGCAGGUUGAAGGUUGGGUAACACUAACUGGAGGACCGAACCGACUAAUGUUGAAAAAUUAGCGGAUGACCUGUGGCUGGGGGUGAAAGGCCAAUCAAACCGGGAGAUAGCUGGUUCUCCCCGAAAGCUAUUUAGGUAGCGCCUCGUGAAUUCAUCUCCGGGGGUAGAGCACUGUUUCGGCUAGGGGGCCAUCCCGGCUUACCAACCCGAUGCAAACUGCGAAUACCGGAGAAUGUUAUCACGGGAGACACACGGCGGGUGCUAACGUCCGUCGUGAAGAGGGAAACAACCCAGACCGCCAGCUAAGGUCCCAAAGUCAUGGUUAAGUGGGAAACGAUGUGGGAAGGCCCAGACAGCCAGGAUGUUGGCUUAGAAGCAGCCAUCAUUUAAAGAAAGCGUAAUAGCUCACUGGUCGAGUCGGCCUGCGCGGAAGAUGUAACGGGGCUAAACCAUGCACCGAAGCUGCGGCAGCGAACGUAUCACUUAAAGCGAUUCAGCGGGUUACGAUUGACGGAGCGAAGCGACGUCAAAGCGUAUACAAAGUCGAGUCGGUUUAAGGAUACGUUCGUUGGGUAGGGGAGCGUUCUGUAAGCCUGUGAAGGUGUGUCGUGAGGCAUGCUGGAGGUAUCAGAAGUGCGAAUGCUGACAUAAGUAACGAUAAAGCGGGUGAAAAGCCCGCUCGCCGGAAGACCAAGGGUUCCUGUCCAACGUUAAUCGGGGCAGGGUGAGUCGACCCCUAAGGCGAGGCCGAAAGGCGUAGUCGAUGGGAAACGGGUUAAUAUUCCCGUACUUGGUGUUACUGCGAAGGGGGGACGGAGAAGGCUAUGUUGGCCGGGCGACGGUUGUCCCGGUUUAAGCGUGUAGGUGUGUGUUCCAGGUAAAUCCGGUUCACUUUAACACUGAGGCGUGAUGACGAGGCACUACGGUGCUGAAGCAACAAAUGCCCUGCUUCCAGGAAAAGCCUCUAAGCAUCAGGUAACAUCAAAUCGUACCCCAAACCGACACAGGUGGUCAGGUAGAGAAUACCAAGGCGCUUGAGAGAACUCGGGUGAAGGAACUAGGCAAAAUGGUGCCGUAACUUCGGGAGAAGGCACGCUGACAUGUAGGUGAAGUGAUUUACUCAUGGAGCUGAAGUCAGUCGAAGAUACCAGCUGGCUGCAACUGUUUAUUAAAAACACAGCACUGUGCAAACACGAAAGUGGACGUAUACGGUGUGACGCCUGCCCGGUGCCGGAAGGUUAAUUGAUGGGGUCAGCGCAAGCGAAGCUCCUGAUCGAAGCCCCGGUAAACGGCGGCCGUAACUAUAACGGUCCUAAGGUAGCGAAAUUCCUUGUCGGGUAAGUUCCGACCUGCACGAAUGGCGUAAUGAUGGCCAGGCUGUCUCCACCCGAGACUCAGUGAAAUUGAACUCGCUGUGAAGAUGCAGUGUACCCGCGGCAAGACGGAAAGACCCCGUGAACCUUUACUAUAGCUUGACACUGAACAUUGAGCCUUGAUGUGUAGGAUAGG
rnacentral:rRNA from 1 species